rnacentral:rRNA from 1 species
AUUGAACGCUGGCGGCAGGCCUAACACAUGCAAGUCGAGCGAGUGGCGGACGGGUGAGUAAUGUCUGGGAACCUGCCCGAUGGAGGGGGAUAACUAGUGGAAAAGGUAGCUAAUACCGCAUACCAUCGGAUGUGCCCAGAUGGGAGUAGCUAGUUGGUGGGGUAACGGCUCACCUAGGCGACGAUCCCUAGCUGGUCUGAGAGGAUGACCGGCCACACUGGAACUGAGACACGGUCCAGACUCCUACGGGAGGCAGCAGUGGGGAAUAUUGCACAAUGGGCGCAAGCCUGAUGCAGCCAUGCCGCGUGUAUGAAGAAGGCCUUCGGGUUGUAAAGUACUUUCAGCGGGGAGGCGUUACCCGCAGAAGAAGCACCGGCUAACUCCGUGCCAGCAGCCGCGGUAAUUC